rnacentral:pre_miRNA from 1 species
UACAUACUCCCUUCGUUUCGAAUUACUUGUUACAGAUAUAGAUGUAUCUCGAUGUAUUUUAGUUUUAGAUACAUUCAUUUCUGUGACGAGUAAUUUAAAACAGAGGGAGUAAUUG